CCUUUUUAUUGAUUAUUAUUAUUGAACUGUAAUACUUUGUGUCAUUUUUAUUGGUAUUUUUUUUAGGAUUGUAAUAGGAUAUUCUAAAAGGUAAUAAGUAAUCAAAUUCAAUGACAUAAAUGCUGUAUGCAUUUUAUAAAUCAAAACGACAAUUAUUCAACAGCUGAUAAAUGUGUUCAUGCGCAACUAAGUAAUACAAAAAAAUAUAAUUUGCAUGGUGUUGUAACUACUGCGAGUCAAGUGGAUAAGUUGACCUUGUUAGUUAAGUUGCUGGCAAUAGUGAAUAAAAUACUGUUGGAGAUUGUUGGAAAACUGAUCAGUGAUGCGUGUCUCAUGCACUAACUUUGGAUGAACUCUACAAAAAUUGUAUACGUUACUCAUGAUACUAGAAUUUUUGUCAAUGGAGAUAGACGUUAAUCUAUUUUAUAGUAUUGUUGGGAUCACUCAGAUGCGCCCUUCCCAGUGCUCGGAUAAUGACUGGAUCAAAUAAGAACAGGCUUUAUUUGGUUGACGAAUGAAGUAGAGAAGAUUUUUUAAGUGAAGGGAACAUUUGUAUAAUAAUUCUUUAUUAAUUUUCCUAUACUUAUGUCGAAGAAGUUAUAAUAAUAAGUGACAAUAGUUUUGGUUAUUUUUAUAAAUUGAGGAAAUGAUUUCAAAAGUGAAUAAUUUGAACAAACAUCUUGCUGUAACUAUAUACAAGUUAAUAUAACAAUUAAUUUAAAAUAAUGUAACAAUAUAUGAAUUAAAACUUUUUCUGAUUUUUUAUUUAAACAUUUAUUUGUGUACCAUUCUUUUCAUACGCACUGUAGCCUACUUAAGUGGACUAUAUUUUUUAGAUGAUGUUUUUUUUUAUUUUCUCCUUACUCCAUCAUUUUUGUAGAUACAUAAUAUAUAUAUAUCUUUACAUAUAUUUUAUUAUAUACAUAUAUCUUUUCCAUCGGUAGACAUCAUUUUAGAAAAGGUGCAUCAGGUAUUAUUAUUUUAUUGAUUUUUUAUUUUAAAAAACUGAUCUUACACAAAUCAUAUAUGUAUCGUACGUAAAUUUUAACUGGAUUAUUUUUAGAUUUAAUAGUCUUUUUUGUCUGCCUGUGUUUCUUAAAAUGAGUAUAUAUGAAUUAAAAAUUAUAAUAUAAUUCUGCACACAUUACACAUUACUUAGCUAUCAAUAAAUAUGUAUACUAGUCUUCUCCGUCUGUCUGUGUUUUUUAAAAUAAGUAGAUAAUGAAGUUGUUUAAUUUACACUACAGUUGUAAUC